rnacentral:lncRNA from 1 species
GUUUCCUUGUUGCUCUACUUAGCUAUUCUGCAUACCCUGUUUCAUGUUUAUAGUAGAGCGAUUUCGUGAUUAUCUGUGAGAUCAGCGAUCUAGUCGGUCGAUUCUAGUAUUUAGUAUUUGUGACCUGUUCGGUGAGUUCCUCGACCCUUGUUGUCUGAUGACCGUUGAGGUCGGUAUACCCUGAGGGGUGGGAUUGUCGGUUAGUUGCCGACGGAUGAUUAUACUUUAACUUAUAUCACUAUUUGACAUGUUUGUGACCACAGUCGGUCAGUGCAUCAUAUCCUAUACUUGUGACAUGAUUGGUCGAGUUUAUAUCCUAUACUUGUGACAUGAUUGGUCGAGUUUCAUAUGCCUAGUUAAUCUGAGUGGUAGUCCUUGUGUUCAUUGAGCAGUUUUGCAUAUGUUUGAGAGGAUGUCGAUGUUGUCCCAUCCUAUUGACCUGAGUGGUCGGUUCUUGUGCUUCCUUACACGUUGAUGACCUAUACGGUCGAUGGGGCCGCUGGGGGCAGGAUUGUCGGCUGUUUGCCGACGGUUGAUCAUUUAGCAUUUUGCAUUGAUCGCGCCGAUACUCGUCGCAUUUCAUGAACACUGGCGGUCUGAUCCACGCACAGGAGUGGUCUUUUCGGAAAGUGUUUGCAUGUGACAACCGUGAGCCCUAGAGGGUUAUAUUGCACUGAGAGUAGUGGUGGCAUUGGCUUGAGAGGUCUGCGGUGCUGACCAAGAGAGCAUUAGUUUCAGAUUGGGUAACUUUAGAACUUCUUGACGCGGUUGACGCAUAUGUCUAUAGUAGCAGUCGUUGCAUGCAUUUUUACGCUGUUCAUACUUUAUAGUUGUCUGCUACAUAGUAGAUAUUCAUGUAUGCUUUCUGUUUCCAGUUACAGUAACAGUACCGUUAUUCCAGUCUAGUUCUUACUUUCUUUCAGUUUAUUGCUACUUAUUCGGAAUAUCUGCCCAUUACUUACAUAUCUCUUUCAUUUAUUAUUGUUCACUAUAUUCCAGCUGACACCGUGUGUGUGUUAUAUGCUCUUCCUGAUCCGGUGAGUACUCCUCGCCUUCUUCGGCUUGCGGUACCCGCUGGGAGGGGAGACAUGUUUACAUGUUCUCACCUCCCCCACUAUUUUUCAGGUAUCGUGGGCGGUGAGGGUUGAGACGAGACAUGAGAUACGUAGUGAUCGAUAGAGCUUCCGACUCAGGUUAUUUUCGUUUAGUUAUUACCCCUAUUAUUUCUGUUGAUGUAUAGUUUAGUUGGUUUAUGUGGUUCAGUAUUUCAUUACGUUAAAAUAAAAGGAUUUCUGAAUUUUGUAAAAUAAAAGGUUUUCUACCCCUCCUGGUAGCGUUUUUAAAAGACAAAAGUUCCUGUGUAGGGAACAGUUUUCAAAAGAUUUUAUGUGAAUUUUGCAUCUUAGUAUUUCAAAACCUGUUUCUAUGGUUGGAAGCAUUUUAACUGAUAGAUGUGAAAGUAUGUUUAAAUAUUGAAUGUAUAAAUGUAAACCUGUGAUGUGAAUGGUGUAUAAAUAUAUAAUUGUUGGUUAUUUGUAUGUUCAUUUGGUUGUGGUUGUACCUGGGUUGCUUUUUGUACUUGUGCGACGCCGUGCAAAUACAGGGGAGACUCUGUCCGUGUGCACAGUGGAUUUCCCGUAUUUGUGGCGGAUCUGGCAUACUCUGGGGUCAGGGUUUUCAAAAAAAAAAAAUUCAGACGCCUUUUCGCUAUGUUUUAAACUAAAAGGGACCCCAGGGCGUGACAGAUUAAAGUGGUAUCAGAGCGAGGUUACAACCACAACACCAUUCACAAGUUGUUUUGAAAAGUAAAUGAAACUGAACCAUUGGUUAGGUUGACCCUUAGGAAGACCUACGGUGUAUAGGCACGUGAGAGCGGGGUUAGGGCUUGUGUCCCCGUGUGCAUUCGAGUUGGGUAAACUCCGAGUGCAUGGUGUUUCUGUAUGUGUUACGGUUCGCACAAGCUGGUGUCUAAGUUGGGAGUAGUGGUGGUGUACUUUUUCGGAUAUCGAGUGGUGGAACGAUAUUCCCCACAUGUUGCCACUCCUGUCAGGUGGGGCCUUGAUAGGCCAAGUGAGAUUUUCGGGUCUAGGCGAGUGUCAUAACUGUCGGCGCCCAGGCCACUCUCUCUACUUAGGGCACGAAAGCUAUUGCGAGUGUCUCUACGGAGACGGUACUUAGACCAGCUACGGUCGCGACUUCAGUGGGGCUACUUGGGUGUAGCCUAGGGUUUGGAUAGCGGUCAUUUCGGCGACUGCAUUGUAAGUGUUGCUUUCGCAGAUCUUUGGGUAGGGUUGUGAUGCCUACCUAUCCUCCUUGAUUGCUGAUUGGAAUCAGCGGUUCGGAUCUUUUGACAUUUUCCUCGUUCAUUUUUCCUAUUAGAGUCGAAUUGACACAGUUUUGGUGUCAAGUUUCGUUGAGGCAUACAUCGUAUGCGAUUGUUCUAACACCUAAAUUGGUGUCAGGGGAUAGUAGUUGGUCAUAGGUUUCAUCUUGAUUCGAAAGACUCCAGGUUAUUGUCGGAUUCUCGAAGCUUCGAUUAUAGCUCGGUUGAGGUGCAAAAAUCGGUUAGAGAAACCGUUUUCAAAAGCCUCAGUUAGUAUGGUUCGCGACUUAGUGUCGCUAACAUCUUUCGGAUGUUGAAAAUUAUAGGACUCCCUUUGAGUCGGUUCAGGGUCGUUCUGAUUUCGAAUGUCGACUUGUAAAAUCGAUGUAAUGGUUGUGAACUCUUGGUUCAGUAAAGAGGUAUCAGGUGGCUUGAUACUUCGACGUGUCACACUUCCAAUUCGUUGUUGGUAGUGAAUCUUCGGAUAUUUCGCUUUUCUUUUGAUAAGUACAUUGGCUGCAGACAAUAUACUGUCGAAAGUUAGGAUGAAAUACCCAUUUCCCGUGUGAAACCUUUGGAUUGGGUCGGUGUCUUCCCUAGUUGUUUAUAAGAACGCUUGAGUCUCUGACCUUGUGGCGAGCCUUGGAUUAUUCCUUGGCAGGUUUUUGCACAGUUGACUUAUCGUCACUUCUGAUGGUUUUGACUUUGGUCUGAGUCUAGGUGAUCGUUGGUCCUAUUGUUGUGCCUUCCACAGCUAAGAGUUUCUUGGGUAGUAGUCUCAGUUUGUGUCGUGAGGUUCAGAAUCAGUCGUAGAGGGACUUGAGUCUGGUGGUCGGCUUUGAUUGUCAUCGUAUGUGAUAGAGUAUAAGAUUGUAAUUUGGCUUAUCGUGCAAACCUUAGAAUGUUAUGCUUGUCCAAUUAUUUGGUGAUAGGUGCGCCAGGAUCUCAAUGAGACAAGUAAUCGGGUGUUGCUGGGAACAUCGAUCGCUAGGGUCCAUGGUAGGACGGCAGCGACAGGGUCUUGUGGAGACAGGUGUUGAGCAUCACCGAUGGUUAGUAUCGCAAUUGCGAUUUGCGACCUGUCCAUCAAGUGAUGGACUUGCAAAGAGCAAUUGGUGGUCUGUUGGUACCGGAUUAAGUUUGAGGGGACAAAAUUGUCUAGCUUAAUUGGUAUUGUCAGUUGGAUCUUUUGGUCAGAUGUAAAGUGAGGUCUUGGACCUAGGGCUAUAGAUUGUCGCAGGUGACCUUCCGUUAUUGGAGGUUUUGGCAGUUUGUGUAGUUACUGGUGGGAGACUGUGGUCUCCAAGGUGAGAGUUUUGACUCAGGUCUUAGAACAACGUUUCUUAUUCGCUCGUGGUGAGCAGGUUGACGUUGUUGGAUAGUCGGAGUUUUUUGUUUCAGUCUACUUAAAUAGACUCUAGAUUAAAGUGGUUGUCUCGUGACUUUUCUACGUGAACUUGCGACGUAAUCGAGUCGGCUAUGGCUAUGCGAACCAAGGUAGAGUGGACCUAAAUUUCUGAAUGUUGCUUAAUUAUCUCAGAAUUGGCAAUUUGAGUUCGGAUAAUCCUUCUCGCGGGACUAUUUUUGCCCGCAGGUUAUAGGAUGAUGUUAAUCCCAGUGAGUUUUGGUCCGUAGAUUUUGGGUUGGUAUGUUUAUUCGUCUUGUAAGAGUGGAACCGCAGUCCUUAUCUUCCCUUCUUAGAAGUUUGAUCUAUCCAAAUCCAAAUAUGUAUGAAUGACCAAUACAUUGGUGGAGCAAUGUCUGAUUAUGAUUUCAGUGGGUACGUGGUCAAGUUUCGGGGGUCAAGUUUCGGGGACGAAACUUCUUUUAAGGGGGGGAUAAUGUAAGGCCUGAGAUUUUUACAGUGCAACUAAACUCUCUGUUGACGAUGUUUAUAUGUGUAAUUUAAUUACAUAAGCACUCGUCAAGUUUCAGGAGAAAAUGAGCUAGAAUGGAGAAGUUACGCGAUUAUUAGUUUUCACUUAAGUGAAUAGUAGCUCCGGUUUUUCGAAGAAGCCACGGAGUAGAGUUGGCUUUCGGCGCGUAUCGGACUCCGUUCAUAGCGAUCCAAUAGCUUGUUUCGACCGGUUCAGUUAUUCUGGAACCAAUGACACUGACGGAUUUCAGAUUUGAUGCACGGUUAUCGAGAAAAAGGGGUUUUAUCGAAAAGAGGAUUUUCGCUCUUUGCUGUACUUGCAUAAUGAGACUCCUCGUGCUCUGCGCUUGUGACCUGGGGUUAGGUGAGAGUUGUUUCUGGUACCUACUGGGGGUAGGGAAUUCAAUUUGAAUUUGGAUUAAAGGUUUUAGGGUUUAUACAUAGGUCUAUGUGUAAUUUGUGAGUUAGUUGGAGAACGGAUGGGUUUGGUCGCAAAUCGGCAGGUAAAUCGGAUGAAACGAAAUCGUAGGUUUAUUGUUCCCGUCGUACUGAACGCGAUGGCUCAAUCCAUUCGGAAUUCUGAUGAACGGAUUGCCGGAUAUCGCACGAUGUUCGAAAAGGGGUCUAAUGUGACUAAUUGGAAUUUUAUCAAAAGUCCCCAUAUUUUAUGUACCGAAUCGCGCAAAAUCAGACGUGGAGGUGCGUACGUGUAAAAUUCUCACACUAUGAAGGACUGAAUUUCUAAUAAUCAGUUUAGUAGGACUUGUGUGCAAAAUUGACAAUCAUACAUAAGCUUUCUAGGGUUUCAUCAUGGAAAACCCUAACCGUGGUUCACCUUCUCCCUCAGCCGACCUCCCUGCGACACCUCUGCACCUUUUCCCUAGCCGUGCGCGCACCACGGUCGCCGGCACGUGCUCCGACCGCCGAAAAACACCUUCACCAUCACCUUCUUCACCUAUCCUCCAUCCUCCUCAGCCUUCUGACCUCGGGAAGCCACCCCGUGAGUCGGGCCUGCACUCUCUGGCACAGACCUCCCCUCCGGUGUCACCCUCGCUGGCCCCCGUCGUCGGCGCGCGCCGCCGACGCCGCCGGAGCCACCUUGCUCCCUGCGGCCAACCCGCAGUCACCCAGGCGGAGCCUGGGUGAUCUCUGCCUCCGCGCAUCGCCGCCGCCCAGCCUCAGUCCCGCCGCCCUCAUCUGGCCUCUAGCGUGCCCCCGCGCGCCAUCGUCGCCGCUCCCGACGCCGCCGGCCGCCGCUUUCCCUCCCUGCGGCCGCCCAGACCUGAAGCGGGCCGAGAUCUGGUCUUCUCGACCACCGCGCGUCGCCGCCACUAGCAGCAAGGCGCGCCGACCUUCCUCGACCUCCAGCGACGUGCCGCCGUCGCCCCGACCUUCCUCCGGCCGCCGCCAUGGCCGCCGCUACCGUUGGAGCCCGUGGUGAACCCGCGCGGGCUCGGUUUGGUCCAGCACCGCCGCAGCCGCGUUCCGUCGCCGAACGGCGUGAGCACGGGUCCCGGAUGGUCCGCCGCACUCGUCCGCCGUCGUCGCCCGCGCCGCCGGAGCUCCCCGUCGGCCGAAACGAGCCCGUGUUCUCUUCGGGUUGGGAUGCCUAGGGUAUCAUUGGCCGUCGUCGCCGCCGCCUCCCAUCGCCUGCGGACGCUAGCCCCAGCCACCUCGGACCUUCCGCACCAACCCCUAGCCGGCCUGUCCGUCGUCCGGCCGCCGCCGGCAACCCCGUGCCCUGCCUAGCUCCGAUAAGCUUAGUUUAGCUUUCUGCACCUUGUCUUGGGGUUUCGGUCACUGUUCCGGUGAACCGAGGCCACCCUGAGUCUUCCGAAGGUGAGCACGAUGAUCCUGGUUCAGUGCUGAUCAUCGUGGCCACCUUCAUUGGAGCCUGAGAGCCUCUGAUUUGCGAGAUAAGCAUGUUUUUCAUGCUGUGCGCGCAGUCUGCUGAAGUUCGUCUCGCUCCCGCGCUCGCCACAGUGGCCGGCCAUGCUCCGAAGUGUGAGCACGGCCUCCGGCAUGUCGAUACCUAUCAGCGAGAGUCUCGGCUCAGCUCGAGUGUCCUCGGUUUGCGCUAUCGGACCGUAAAGUCCUGUAAAUAGCAUGAAAUAAUAUAAUUUUACGUAUUAUAGGGGACUUUUGUGCAAUUGUACACUUCGUGGCCGCUGUGGGUAGUGUGUAAGGACAGCGGGUGACCUCUGGACUAGUUGUCCAAGGCCCAGAGUUUUAUGAAAAUCAAAUGUUGAUUUCCGACGCGUUUUUCGGCGAAAUCCGCCGACGAAACGCUAGUUUGGUUCGGAAUUAAUCCGACGGAGCUUCGUGAUGGAUUGUUUAGUCGCUGAGCCUAGUUCGCUGGUCACCCGUGUCAUUUCGAGGGUUCGAAAAUGACGGGUGAGCGAUGGGGGAGUUCCGGUGCGAUUUUCGAGACUUCGGGUUUGUUCGGUAAUCGGUUUUGGGAAACCGGUUCUCGUGGUUUUGGUGAGUCGGGAUUGUGAGUUAGCGUUACUUGUCAGUGGGUUAGAUCUUAACCCGUUGGACCUUUCGUAGGCUCGGUUGCACCGUCUUUACAGUCGAGAGAUCUUCGUCAGACACGUACAGGUGGGUACUUCGAUCCGACGUUGGUACAGUGGUGCACGCUUGGUGAUGGUUUCUUACCCUUCCUCUUUUGUUAUUAUCCAUGCAUAUGUUAUAUGUUGAGCUUUGCACCUCUAUUGUUUACAUUACACCCACGUUGUUUGAUUAUACUCUACUCAGACGUUUCCAUGCUUAGUAUCAUGUGUAGGAGUAUAGUCUAUCAGUGUGUGAUACCAUGUUUCCUUGUUGCUCUACUUAGCUAUUCUGCAUACCCUGUUUCAUGUUUAUAGUAGAGCGAUUUCGUGAUUUUCUGUGAGAUCAGCGAUCUAGUCGGUCGAUUCUAGUAUUUAGUAUUUGUGACAUGUUCGGUGAGUUCCUCGACCCUUGUUGUCUGAUGACCGUUGAGGUCGGUAUACCCUGAGGGGUGGGAUUGUCGGUUAGUUGCCGACGGAUGAUUAUACUUACUCAUAUUCACUAUUUGACAUAUUUGUGACCUAGUCGGUCAGUGCAUCAUAUCCUAUACUUGUGACAUGAUUGGUCGAGUUUCAUAUCCUAUACUUGUGACAUGAUUGGUCGAGUUUCAUAUCCUAUACUUGUGACAUGAUUGGUCGAGUUUCAUAUUCUAGUUGAUCUGAGUGGUCAGUCCUUGUGGUUCAUUGAGCAGUAUUUGCAUAUGUUUGAGAGGAUGUCGAUGUUGUCCCAUCCUAGUUGACCUGAGUGGUCGGUUUUUGUGCUUCCUUACAGUUGAUGACCUAUACGGUCGAUGGGCCCUGGGGGGCAGGAUUGUCGGCUGGUUGCCGACGGUUGAUCAUUGAGCAUAUUGCAUUGAUUGCCCGAUACUCAUCGCAUUUCACGAACACUGGCGGUCUGAUCCACCGCAAGGAGUGUUCUUUUCCGGAAAAGUGGUUUGCAUGGUGACAACCCGUGAGCCCUAGAGGGGUUAUAUGCACUGGAGAGUAGUAGUGGCAAUGGCUUGAGGUCUGCGGUGCUGACCAAGAGAGCAUUGGUCAGAUUGGGUACUUUUGAACUUCUUGACCGGUUGACGCAUAUGUCUAUAGUAGC